rnacentral:rRNA from 1 species
UUGCACCAAAUGAAACUAGAUACAAGCGAGCGGCGGACGGGUGAGUAACACGUGGGUAACCUGCCCAAGAGACUGGGAUAACACCUGGAAACAGAUGCUAAUACCGGAUAACAACACUAGACGCAUGUCUAGAGUUUAAAAGAUGGUUCUGCUAUCACUCUUGGAUGGACCUGCGGUGCAUUAGCUAGUUGGUAAGGUAACGGCUUACCGAGGCAAUGAUGCAUAGCCGAGUUGAGAGACUGAUCGGCCACAUUGGGACUGAGACACGGCCCAAACUCCUACGGGAGGCAGCAGUAGGGAAUCUUCCACAAUGGACGCAAGUCUGAUGGAGCAACGCCGCGUGAGUGAAGAAGGGUUUCGGCUCGUAAAGCUCUGUUGGUAGUGAAGAAAGAUAGAGGUAGUAACUGGCCUUUAUUUGACGGUAAUUACUUAGAAAGUCACGGCUAACUACGUGCCAGCAGCCGCGGUAAUACGUAGGUGGCAAGCGUUGUCCGGAUUUAUUGGGCGUAAAGCGAGUGCAGGCGGUUCAAUAAGUCUGAUGUGAAAGCCUUCGGCUCAACCGGAGAAUUGCAUCAGAAACUNUGAACUUGAGNCAGAAGAGGAGA